rnacentral:lncRNA from 1 species
GAUUGUUGUUAGGAAAAAACACGUAAUUUUCUCAUUUACGAUACAUUUUUCUAAAAACCGUAGAGUGGCGCCACUGCAGUAUUUGUUUGGUCGACAUACCACGUUGGUUGUAGUGAAUGCACCUUGCAGUAAGGCGGUAUUUGAGUUAUAUUUUAGAAGUGCCUAGACAAAAUCUGCUCCUUGUCGUGUGCAGUAACCAUCGCAAACCCUCCGGACUUGUGUAACGCCGUUAGUUCGCCGUGUGUUUCGUGCGAUCUACCAGUGUCGACAGUGAGUGUCUUACUACAGCGCCCGUCCGAGCUGCCUUUGUUCUGCCGAGCUGCCUGCCCGCGCUCUCGUGAAAAGUCUGGUACUGGAGCUUCGAAUCGUAGUGUAUGGAAGACUGUUGAAGGUUGUGCUUUUGUGGAGCUGGAGUUCAUCGGAAGUUCUACAGUGCUUGCGCCAGAAAAACGUCGGUGCCUCGGUACCUUUGAGACGAAGGAGCGUUGGCCAAGUCUUUUUGAAAGGCUAUGCGGAUUCUGGAGGCAUCCCUACAUCAAGCAGGAACCUGCUGCUCUGCUGGAAGCUGGACAGCACGACAAUAAAGCACGUGAUCUGUGUGCUUUCUCAAAGGUAGACAUCGGCGACGGUGUAUAUGUUGAAAAGUGCCUGCUGAAGAGGCUGCGCCUGGAUGCUAACAACUCAGGCUUUCAGUUCGCGGGGGGCCUCCUUAAGGCUCCUUUUACAAAAGAAGAGGUUGAAGGGAGGCGCUACACAUGGAUGCGCAGCGAUUGUUUGUGACAUCGUCACUGCUGGCAGGCCUGGCCUGCCUUUUCGCUUCGUUCUGGGUCUUCCACGUUAUCUACUCGAAAACGCCCACAGGGUUUUGACAUUUAUUGAGCACUGCUUUCUGGAUUUGAGCUACACAAAGCUGCAGGUGAAAGCAUUGGAUUUAGUCAAUAUUUACUAGAACUAUUGCUAGGCAAAAAAAUUUUCAGAUGCAUAUCCUCAAGAAAGUUUCUGUAAAAAUUAUUUUGCCUAACAAAAGCACUCGUGGGUUCUGUGGCUGGCAGCUUGCCCAAGCCAUGUAGCACAGUGCUUGCUUUAAAGGGACACGAAAGGG